GUUCUCUCUCUCUAUAUAUAUUUUUCUCUCUCUAAAGAAGAUGACUUCUUCCAUGAAAGCCACCAACAAGCACCACCUACCAAUCUACCAUUGCCACUAACAAGCACCACAUUUGACCAACCACCUGCCACUGACACUAACAAGCACCACCUUCUACCAUCGUUUUUACCACCCACCUGCCACCACAACCUACCACCACCACAACCCCAAACUUAAAUCAAACACCUUCAACAAUAUUAUACUACACACGAGCCUAUGAAAGAAUACAAAAUAUUAAAAUUUCAAACCAUAAUUGUUGCCUCUUACAGUUAUAGCAAAUUGUGAAACAAAUAGAGCCCAACAGUUAAAACCAUACACAUCCACAGUCAGCCCAGCCCAACCCGAACCGAACGACCUGAACAUUCCAUCUAGGUAUAGAGAUUUCGCUGUCAAGUCCUCACCGGACUCCACACAAUCCCACCGUCUCCGUCGUAGUCACCUCUGAUCAGGUCUUAAACCAUGUGCCAAAGAUAAAGUUGGAAAAAAGGGGCGAUUUAAGGACAUUACAGAUGAAUUCUACACAAACUGUUGAACUUACAGCUGAUGCACGGCCAUGCGCCCCAACUGCACGACCGUGCAUGACCUACGACACCGGAAGCACGGGGAGUGCAUAAGCCAGUGCAGCUGAUUCCUCGGAGACCCACGAUCGUGCGACCAAGUGCACUCCCGUGCACUACCUGAACCUUAAAGAAACUGAGUUUCAAGACCCUGCACUACCAUGCAAUGAUGUGCACGACCGUGCACAUCUGAGACUUAGACCAUUGUCCACUUGUCUGACCCAGCGAAGCAAUGACGUCACCCGACAAUUAUCCGUGCACGGGCGUGCACAUAAAGUGCACGACCGUGCAGAUAUGAAAAAUCUCUAUAAAACAGAGCAUUCGUUACUGAUCAUUUCAUUGGGUAAUUUUCCUAACUUCUGGGCGAUUUCUUGGCUCAGCAAGGAUUCUGCUUUGUUUGGAUUCAAGCCUCCAAGUUGCAAAGAAGCCUAACCAUUAUCCAAUCCAUCAAAUCCUUGCUUGUUUAUGGUUUGAUUUCUUGUUCUUAACAUGUGUUUUGAUCAUAUUUUCAAGCAUUGAGCUGAUGUCUAUUUUUAUGUAUAUGUAUAUGUAUUGUUGUAAUAUUAUUAAGAAACUUGUUUCAUGAAUAAUCUCUUGUUUGUAAUCUUAUUUGUAUGAAACUUUAGCAAAUUUUUCAUGUUCGAAUCCUCAUGAUCAUAUGAUUGUUAACAAUUCCUUGAUUAAUCAUUUGUUUGUAAACUAA
rnacentral:lncRNA from 1 species